rnacentral:other from 1 species
UGUCUCCUGUGAUGUUGGUGGGGUGUUAUUUGUUUUUAACCAAUGCAAAUCACAAGGGAAUCCAAAUGCGAUUAUUGGAGCAAAUGCCGUCUCGAGCGGACUUGUGAAGAUAAUAUGAGGAUACCCACCUGCUAGGGCAGGUUAAAACUGUGGGCCUCACGGCAAAACGGGGAGUUG